AGGUUGAUAUACUGCACUGAUAAUGAUGAAAACAUUUAGGGUAUACAGUUGAUUGCACUGUUUUAUAAACUCGUACAUAGUUUCAACAAAUUAUAAACACUGAAAAAUUAUCUAGAAUAUUGAGUAAUACAUAAAUCUUGAAUUACUGAUUAUUGUUAUCGAUUAAAUACAAUAUGAAAUUUAUCAGUUGUUUUGUUGACAGCUGAAUUAUAUUUAAUUAUAGACUAAAUAGAUUUUCAAUGUAUUAAAAUGAAAAUAUGCUUUUGUUGGCACGGCCUAAAUCUGGAAAACGUAGAUGUAGUAUAUUGGAAGGACAAAACUGCUACUGCAGUGUGACUAGGAUCAAAAUGGCAGUGGCUAAACCCAUGGUAGAAGAAAACAAGGUAUGCUUAUGCGCAUGUCUGACGUAUGCCCUGACGUCAUCUUGGAUGAGAAAACAGUAUCUCCCGUUUGUAUCCGUGUUAAUGUUUACCUACUAAGUCUCGGUCUGUUGCCAUUAAUUGUUGGAAAAUUUAAUUAUAAGUUUUAUCUACAAUGAGAC
rnacentral:lncRNA from 1 species